rnacentral:rRNA from 1 species
GAUUAAGCCAUGCAUGUCUCAGUUCACACCCUCGCACGGUGAAACCGCGAAUGGCUCAUUAAAUCAGUCGAGGUUCCUUAGAUGAUCCAUUUCUACCUGGAUAACUGUGGCAAUUCUAGAGCUAAUACAUGCGGACCAGCUCCGACCCGGUGUCGCAGCCGGGAAAGAGCGCUUUUAUUAGUUCAAAACCAGUCGGCAGGUCCGCCCUUCGCGGGGUGCGGCCAGCCGUCCCCUAUUGGUGACUCUGGAUAACUUUGUGCCGAUCGCAUGGCCUCGAGCCGGCGACGCAUCUUUCAAAUGUCUGCCCUAUCAAAUGUCGAUGGUACGUGAUAGGCCUACCAUGUUGGCUACGGGUGACGGGGAAUCGGGG